GGUUAAGCGACUAAGCGUACACGGUGGAUGCCCUGGCAGUCAGAGGCGAUGAAGGACGUGCUAAUCUGCGAUAAGCGUCGGUAAGGUGAUAUGAACCGUUAUAACCGGCGAUUUCCGAAUGGGGAAACCCAGUGUGAUUCGUCACACUAUCAUUAACUGAAUCCAUAGGUUAAUGAGGCGAACCGGGGGAACUGAAACAUCUAAGUACCCCGAGGAAAAGAAAUCAACCGAGAUUCCCCCAGUAGCGGCGAGCGAACGGGGAGCAGCCCAGAGCCUGAAUCAGUGUGUGUGUUAGUGGAAGCGUCUGGAAAGGCGCGCGAUACAGGGUGACAGCCCCGUACACAAAAAUGCACAUGCUGUGAGCUCGAUGAGUAGGGCGGGACACGUGGUAUCCUGUCUGAAUAUGGGGGGACCAUCCUCCAAGGCUAAAUACUCCUGACUGACCGAUAGUGAACCAGUACCGUGAGGGAAAGGCGAAAAGAACCCCGGCGAGGGGAGUGAAAAAGAACCUGAAACCGUGUACGUACAAGCAGUGGGAGCACGCUUCGGCGUGUGACUGCGUACCUUUUGUAUAAUGGGUCAGCGACUUAUAUUCUGUAGCAAGGUUAACCGAAUAGGGGAGCCGAAGGGAAACCGAGUCUUAACUGGGCGUUAAGUUGCAGGGUAUAGACCCGAAACCCGGUGAUCUAGCCAUGGGCAGGUUGAAGGUUGGGUAACACUAACUGGAGGACCGAACCGACUAAUGUUGAAAAAUUAGCGGAUGACUUGUGGCUGGGGGUGAAAGGCCAAUCAAACCGGGAGAUAGCUGGUUCUCCCCGAAAGCUAUUUAGGUAGCGCCUCGUGAAUUCAUCUCCGGGGGUAGAGCACUGUUUCGGCAAGGGGGUCAUCCCGACUUACCAACCCGAUGCAAACUGCGAAUACCGGAGAAUGUUAUCACGGGAGACACACGGCGGGUGCUAACGUCCGUCGUGAAGAGGGAAACAACCCAGACCGCCAGCUAAGGUCCCAAAGUCAUGGUUAAGUGGGAAACGAUGUGGGAAGGCCCAGACAGCCAGGAUGUUGGCUUAGAAGCAGCCAUCAUUUAAAGAAAGCGUAAUAGCUCACUGGUCGAGUCGGCCUGCGCGGAAGAUGUAACGGGGCUAAACCAUGCACCGAAGCUGCGGCAGCGACGCUGAUGCGUUGUUGGGUAGGGGAGCGUUCUGUAAGCCUGUGAAGGUGUGCUGUGAGGCAUGCUGGAGGUAUCAGAAGUGCGAAUGCUGACAUAAGUAACGAUAAAGCGGGUGAAAAGCCCGCUCGCCGGAAGACCAAGGGUUCCUGUCCAACGUUAAUCGGGGCAGGGUGAGUCGACCCCUAAGGCGAGGCCGAAAGGCGUAGUCGAUGGGAAACAGGUUAAUAUUCCUGUACUUGGUGUUACUGCGAAGGGGGGACGGAGAAGGCUAUGUUGGCCGGGCGACGGUUGUCCCGGUUUAAGCGUGUAGGCUGGUUUUCCAGGCAAAUCCGGAAAAUCAAGGCUGAGGCGUGAUGACGAGGCACUACGGUGCUGAAGCAACAAAUGCCCUGCUUCCAGGAAAAGCCUCUAAGCAUCAGGUAACAUCAAAUCGUACCCCAAACCGACACAGGUGGUCAGGUAGAGAAUACCAAGGCGCUUGAGAGAACUCGGGUGAAGGAACUAGGCAAAAUGGUGCCGUAACUUCGGGAGAAGGCACGCUGAUAUGUAGGUGAAGUCCCUCGCGGAUGGAGCUGAAAUCAGUCGAAGAUACCAGCUGGCUGCAACUGUUUAUUAAAAACACAGCACUGUGCAAACACGAAAGUGGACGUAUACGGUGUGACGCCUGCCCGGUGCCGGAAGGUUAAUUGAUGGGGUCAGCGCAAGCGAAGCUCUUGAUCGAAGCCCCGGUAAACGGCGGCCGUAACUAUAACGGUCCUAAGGUAGCGAAAUUCCUUGUCGGGUAAGUUCCGACCUGCACGAAUGGCGUAAUGAUGGCCAGGCUGUCUCCACCCGAGACUCAGUGAAAUUGAACUCGCUGUGAAGAUGCAGUGUACCCGCGGCAAGACGGAAAGACCCCGUGAACCUUUACUAUAGCUUGACACUGAACAUUGAGCCUUGAUGUGUAGGAUAGGUGGGAGGCUUUGAAGUGUGGACGCCAGUCUGCAUGGAGCCGACCUUGAAAUACCACCCUUUAAUGUUUGAUGUUCUAACGUUGACCCGUAAUCCGGGUUGCGGACAGUGUCUGGUGGGUAGUUUGACUGGGGCGGUCUCCUCCUAAAGAGUAACGGAGGAGCACGAAGGUUGGCUAAUCCUGGUCGGACAUCAGGAGGUUAGUGCAAUGGCAUAAGCCAGCUUGACUGCGAGCGUGACGGCGCGAGCAGGUGCGAAAGCAGGUCAUAGUGAUCCGGUGGUUCUGAAUGGAAGGGCCAUCGCUCAACGGAUAAAAGGUACUCCGGGGAUAACAGGCUGAUACCGCCCAAGAGUUCAUAUCGACGGCGGUGUUUGGCACCUCGAUGUCGGCUCAUCACAUCCUGGGGCUGAAGUAGGUCCCAAGGGUAUGGCUGUUCGCCAUUUAAAGUGGUACGCGAGCUGGGUUUAGAACGUCGUGAGACAGUUCGGUCCCUAUCUGCCGUGGGCGCUGGAGAACUGAGGGGGGCUGCUCCUAGUACGAGAGGACCGGAGUGGACGCAUCACUGGUGUUCGGGUUGUCAUGCCAAUGGCACUGCCCGGUAGCUAAAUGCGGAAGAGAUAAGUGCUGAAAGCAUCUAAGCACGAAACUUGCCCCGAGAUGAGUUCUCCCUGACCCUUUAAGGGUCCUGAAGGAACGUUGAAGACGACGACGUUGAUAGGCCGGGUGUGUAAGCGCAGCGAUGCGUUGAGCUAACCGGUACUAAUGAACCGUGAGGCUUAACCUU
rnacentral:rRNA from 1 species